ensembl:lincRNA
GUGAGCCUGCGGCGCUCUUACUGGCUCCUUUUCCUGGCCAGCAGGAGCCUGCUUCUGUCAGAAGUGAAAGCUGCCUUUCAAGUUCAUUAAGUGAGGCAGAGGAUGGGGCAGAGGUUGGGGAGAGAUAGGAUCGUGUAGCUGCACGGCAUGUUUUUCGUUUAACCUAAGGUGGUUCUCAACAUGAUGAAAUAGUUGCACCCUUGUUUGGAAUAAGUGGAUAAUAGCAGCUACGCGUAUCAGACACCUACUAUGUGCCGGAAACCGAGCCAGGAAUAUGACUUACGCUGCCCUCCCAUCUCGCCACAGCUCUACGAAGUACAUUUCUUAUCAGUUUCACAAGCAAGGGAAGUGCGGCUCUGAGGGUCACGGCGCAGCCAGUGAGGGACGGAAAAGAGGGACCCCAAACCAAGUACUGUCUGAUUCUCCCCGGGACCCCACCGAGUCCCUCACGGACGAACUUGGCUAUUAUACAGACGCUGCCCAUACCCACCCUGACUUGAAGCUUUGUACCACUCACAUCUGUGGCUGUCUGCCCCGGGCUUUCCUCCACCCACAAGGACGGGCUUGUCAAGUGCUAGGGUAGGUCACAAGUGUUGGAGUGAAGGCCUCCUUGGAGCUGUUCAGGCAGCACAAUGAU